rnacentral:rRNA from 1 species
GACGAACGCUGGCGGCGUGCUUAACACAUGCAAGUCGAACGGUAAGGCCCUUCGGGGUACACGAGUGGCGAACGGGUGAGUAACACGUGGGUGAUCUGCCCUGCACUUCGGGAUAAGCCUGGGAAACUGGGUCUAAUACCGGAUAGGACUCCUGGCUUCAUGGUUGGGGGUGGAAAGCUUUUGCGGUGUGGGAUGGGCCCGCGGCCUAUCAGGUUGUUGGUGGGGUAAUGGCCUACCAAGGCGACGACGGGUAGCCGGCCUGAGAGGGUGACCGGUCACACUGGGACUGAGUGACGGCCCGGACUCCUACGGGAGGCAGCAGUGGGGAAUAUUGCACAAUGGGCGCAAGCCUGAGGCAGCGACGCCGCGUGAGGGAUGACGGCCUUCGGGUUGUAAACCUCUUUCAGCACCGACGAAGCGCAAGUGACGGUAGGUGCAGAAGAAGGACCGGCCAACUACGUGCCAGCAGCCGCUGUAA